UGAGGAAUAUUGGUCAAUGGGCGAGAGCCUGAACCAGCCAAGUCGCGUGCAGGAUGACGGCCCUCUGGGUUGAAAACUGCUUCUAUGUGGGGAUAAAGUGCGUGACGUGUCAUGCAUUGCAGGUACUACAUGAAUAAGGACCGGCUAAUUCCGUGCCAGCAGCCGCGGUAAUACGGAAGGUCCGGGCGUUAUUCGGAUUUAUUGGGUUUAAAGGGAGCGUAGGCUGUCUAUUAAGCGUGUUGUGAAAUUUACCGGCUCAACCGGUGGCUUGCAGCGCGAACUGGUCGACUUGAGUAUGCAGGAAGUGGGCGGAAUUCAUGGUGUAGCGGUGAAAUGCUUAGAUAUCAUGACGAACUCCAAUUGCGCAGGCAGCUUACUGUAGCAUAACUGACGCUGAUGCUCGAAAGUGCGGGUAUCAAACAGG
rnacentral:rRNA from 1 species